CCUGAGAAACCCAAAAGAUCGAAUGAGGAGAUUCAUCGUCAGCUCAUUUUAUAUAUAUACUAGUUAUGAUAUGGGUUACUACUUGUAGUAUUGCCUGUACAUUCUUGUAUAUUUAAUUGUAAAAUGUUGUCGGCGUGCACUUCUCCUCUAGUAGGAUGUCGCGACCCGUUGAGUAUUGGUCUACGGCCCAGGUGGGAGCUUUUAAUGAAUUUUAUUUAUUGAAAACCCUUGGUGUUUCCUGACUGAUACUCGUCGGUAUACGUAUGAUAUUGAGCCGCAUAUUAUUUGCGUCCAUAUCUAUCGCAAGCGAGGCUAGUUACUGAUAGUGCGGACCUAGUGCCGUCGUUGGUACUAAUCAGCUGUUGGUUGUAUAGAAUUCUAGGACUGGCUCAUUGAAAUAUCUGUCAGCGAUGCUACUGCUUUGGGUACUUUCAGGACCCGUCUUGAAACACGGACCAAGGAGUCUAACAUGUACGCGAGUCAUUGGGAUUUUUAUAAAUUAAACCUAAAGGCGUAAUGAAAGUAAAGGUCGUCCUUGUGUCGACUAAGGGAGGAUAAGUUGUAUUUUAUUAGACAGCUUCGCACUCUCGGGGCGUCUCAUUCUCAUUGCGAGAAGAGGCGCACCUAGAGCGUACACGUUGGGACCCGAAAGAUG
rnacentral:rRNA from 1 species